rnacentral:misc_RNA from 1 species
CGGACUGAGAGUGGGUGUCUGCAGUCGCCUGGGUAUGGAUAUGGUUCGCAAUCGUCCAUUUAGUAUCAAGACCGCAACGCUAUUUUCACCAAGGCACCAUCGAUUUUCCUGUUUUUGCACCACCGCUAAUGUUAAUGUGAAUGCGGAAGAGCCCACAUCAGUUUCCACCGCCACGAACACAGCAUCUGAAUCGGGAUUGGAUGGGGAUGUUGGCAGUAUAAGAGAUGCAGCCAAGAUGCUCGACAUAAGGGUUGGCCGAAUCAUCAAAGCGUGGAGGC